UAAAGUGCGAGCGCAUUGUGAGCACGCCGAGGCUGUUUAAAAGCUAAUGGGGUUUCCUGAAGGAGCCAGCUUGAAGGCAGCAACCAAAGGGUUAAUAUUGUAUUCAUUAUUUAGCUUUACUUUGGCGCACUGGCAGCUCCAACGACCAAGGGAUUUGAAUUACGGUUCGCGAGAUGAAGUUUUUUCUGCUGAUGAUUUUCUCCUUGAUCCAUUGCCCUCUGGCUAAUUGUGAUCACAGCAGCAGUGAGUCAGACAGUAAUGAGGUCAGAAUGAAUCCUCAUCACAGCAGCAGCAGUGAGUCUGACAGUGAUGAGAAUGGAAAUGGCCAUCCGUUUCCUCACUGGCCUUCUUUACCUUUCUGGCCAUUUCCGGGUCUGUGGCCGCAGCCACCACCCCCAACCCCAGCACCAUCCACAACACUAAAACCAACCACCACCCAAGAUCCCCCUCCGACUCCAACGGCUGCUGCUACCACCGAGAGCUCCCGAGGAGACAACAACGUGGCGCUCUGAGAGCAGCAUGAGCAGCCUGGCUUCCUGGGCCAACAGCAGAUGUAUGUUCUGCUCAUAUUGUGUGUGUGUUGUGUUUCAUCGUGUUGGAGUAGCAGCCAUCUUUGAAUCGAGCCUAUUAAUUAAUCCUCAACCAAAAUUACACUACACCUCAUUUGAAAGCCUUGUUCUUAGUCUUUCACAUCCAACCUGGAAAACACUACAGCCAAUUCGAUUUGUGAUUCUGUACCGGCCACCAGGUCCAUAUUCAGAGUUUAUAUCUGAAUUCUCAGAAUUUAUAUCAAGUUUGGUUCUUAAAACCGAUAAAGUUAUUAUUGUUGGAGAUUUUAAUAUCCAUGUGGAUGUUGAUAAUGAUUGCCUUAGUGCUGCAUUCAUCUCCUUGUUGGACUCGAUUGGCUUCUGUCAGAGAGUACAGAAACCCACUCACAGCUUUGGCCACACGCUUGAUCUUGUUCUUACUUAUGGCGUU